ACUUCAUUUUUAUGUUUGCAGGUUUCUUACACAUCAUUUGUUACUUAAAUUCAGCUGUUGGUUAUGGUGAUAACACAACAUUUUGUUUAAGCCUGUGAGGAUGUUUGACUGUGAGCAACUGUUGAUGGGUAGUGAACGUGUUCAUUUAAUACAGUGUAGUGGAAAUUGGAGAGGGAGGUCUGUAUGCUGGCAUUUGGAGCAUGUUUUGAUACAACACUGAGGGAUUUGUGGCUGCUUCC